UUUGACUAUGUGAACAUAUUUUUGACUUGUAAUCUGAUUUAGUAACAUGUUUAGGGAUAAUUGGGCAUGUAAGACUUGGCAUAGCACAUAGAUUACCGUCCGAACAUAGUUUUACGCUAACGACGCAUUAUAGUGGCUUAUGUUACCAUAAUGGGUCGAAACGGGUCAAAAGCACUUAGGUAGGCUUUCCAAUCAGAAUGUUGGGACUAUUAAAUCAUACCAUAUGAGUUUAAUUACUCAUUUGAUUUAUAGAACCUCAUUCCAUCCUAUCUCCCGAUUUAGGUGUCGAUUUUAUUUAUCUAGCGAUCCGAUACUAGGUACCACUUGAUUCCUUGAUUGCCCGUGCAUCGAUAGUUCACAAAAUCAAGGAUACCCUACAAUCUCAAGUGAGUACAUAGUUCCCCUAUUUUAUUGUUUUCAAUUGUUUUGGGGUGAAACAUAUGUGCAAAACGAUUUUCAAGGUUUAAACGAUGAUUUCAAAAACGAUUAAGAUGGUUUAUACAAAACUAAUAACGAUUUCAAUAAGGUUUAAACGAUGAUUUCAAAAACGAUUAAGAUGGUUUAUACAAAACUAAUA
rnacentral:lncRNA from 1 species